GUUCUCUCUUUCUCUUAUACUUAAUAUAACCACACAACGGAUGGACAAGUGACUGUUUUUAUGCGUUGUCAUUGGCAACAACGAAGGUAAAACUCCGCCGUCUGCUUGUUUAGUUUCCACAUAAACCUUUGACAAUGGUCAAGGCUGAAGCUGAAGAUCCUGUUUUCAAAAUAAACUAAAUUACGUGAAAUAGUAUGCAGAGUGUUUACGGACAAGAAACUAAAAACCUCGGAUCCUCUCAGAAGCAGACAGGAGAAGUUUUCCUACUCCAUAGGUGAACUGAAGAACAAGGUGACCGUCACAACCAGAGGCAGAUGCAGCUGAAGCUACAGCGAGGCCACGCAAGAUGCGGCGGGCUGACAGUGUGUCAGUAGCAGUCACAGUGCUGUGACAUAAUGAUGGAGCAGUCAAAGGCUCGCUUUGAGAAAGCACAGAACCUGGUGUCUUUUGACUUCAAUGACGGGGUGAUUAACAUGUUUGCAUCUCAGAAAACCCGACGAUGUGAUCUUCUCUUUAAAUAAGGUAAGCCAGACCCCUCUCUUUCUCUCUCUAUCCCCUUAAAACAGGUAACACGUGUGAGUAGAAUAAAACAACGAUUAGAAUGGAAUGUGCUUAGGUUUGCUCAGAUAAUAGGGAGCGGCUGGAGAUCAGAGGAACAGGAAAUGAUUCGUAAGCGUGUGUUUUGUUAGGAUAACUUUGUCAGCCUCUGUUUAAAGGACAAUAGUGGAAUUUUAUUCUCAAAGCAUUUCAUGGGACCUUAAAGCUCUCCAGAAUGAGAUUAUGUUGCUGACCCCUGACAUCCCAAAUCAGUGGGUGUAGCUAUAAACCUUGAUGGGUAAGUGUAUAGUUUGAGGAAUCUAUUGACAGUGGGGGUCUGCCUGCCAUAAAAUGAGGAGUAAAAGCUGCCUCAGCUAAACAGGAAGAACAGUUACUAGUCUGGGGGAAAUGUAUUUACCCAGUUGUGAGCUCUAGUAACCUCCCUUGUCUCACUAUCACUCCUCCUCACAUGGAAGAGUGAUUCAGACUGUGGCCAGGACCUGAGUUAUACUAAAGCUUUUAAGGAUACUGAACAACAUUUAAUAAAAUUUCCACUCAUUUGCAGCACUGUUUUGAAAUAUAAACAGACUGAUGAGGGAAAUGAGAUGUUGACAGUGAAAGUUGGUGUCUGCAGGAUGUUUCAGUUCCUCUCCCCUCAUCAGUGACAGUCAGGAGGUUUUUGUACAGCCAUGUAUACAAACUGAAUCACUGUGGUAUUCGGACAAGGCACCAAGCUGAUUUUAACAAACUCCAGCCUCCCUCCUCCUGUCCUGACAGUCUUCCCUCCGUCCAGUGCUGAGCUCC